rnacentral:lncRNA from 1 species
CAACACAAGACCUAGAGAGAAAAUUAGUGAGAAAACUUGGUGAGAAUUUUACAAGAUAGAAGGUUAUUCAUCUUGGGUAUAAAUUCAAAGUUAUUUUCUUUCUUGGGGAUUAACUUGAGGCUUGUUCAAGUAAUCCAAAUACAUUGAUCUUCAUAUAUUCCAUUGAAAUCAUUUCUUCCUCAUUUUCUUGUUCUUCAAGUGUUUUGGAAAUUUUCACAUUGUCAACUUUGUUUGAUCAUUGGGCUAUCUUUGGGAGGUGUUUUCCCAAC